rnacentral:lncRNA from 1 species
AUGUUUUUUCCGCUGUGGGACGUCGUCCUCUCCUCCUGCUGAAAUCAGAGUUCAGUACCCAGAGACGUAGGCCGAAAUUACAGUCGAAUCAGUCUCUGAAGCCAAUUAAGUCUUUCAGACCCGUCUAAUCUGUGUGCAUGAACACCACGGAUAAUUGGUAUUGGUUGCUUUCCUUAGGUUUCUUACCUUUCUUCUCCUAGUCUACUUCCUUUCCCAGUUUUAAGAGAUCCUUCUUGUCCAUAGGGUUCUUUUCUAUCAAGUAUUUGGCUACAAAAUCAACUGGAUUGUCCGGCCUGAAAUGACCAUUGCACACAUAAGAUUCGGAAUAGUUUGCUCCAGACCUUGUACCCACCUUUUUCAAGGCAGAAGGAUAGCCAACUAGCACAACAGAAAAUUGUGCCCAAGAAAACCAGAUUUAAAUGAAAAAACAUUGCACAGGACUAGGACAGUAAAAGGUAGCAACCCAUUGCAACGGCCACCGUGUAGAUUUGAAAACAAUCUGAAAGAAAUGCUGUUUCCAAGCCACCCUGAAAUGUCUAAUCUUCUGAAUGGUGACUGAAAUCAUGGUCUACCAAAUACACCCUUGGUAUUCAGGGCUCUCGACUCUCGUUUUUGAAUGUAUCACAAACGAGAUCGAAGUUUUUGAAAUAAUUCAUGCAUUGCAAACCAUGAGCACGUCAGAAUUUUAACACUGUUCGAUUAUAAAACUGAACACCACUCAGUCAUGCCACAACAUCAAACUUUAAUACGGAAUUGGAUACGCUAUACUUGUAGCAUUAAUGAACACAAGUGAAUAUUGUAGAACCGCUUGAAAAAACAACGCAAUCUUGCGUAGUGACCUACACUGGUUGUUCCACUACCUUGCACAAGAGUAAAUAAAUGGACAGAGCAAACUGAACGAUGAGAACUUAACUUGCGUGCCACAUGAAAUGAAAAACUUGUGGCGUGUCUUUCAGAUGGCAUGACAAAGGAUGCUUAUGAACGUACCUCUCGGUCGCCAGUAGCUGCAAACCAUGGAGCAGCAAUGGAAUCACGGCAGCUUCC